AAUGAACGCUGGCGGCGUGCCUAAUACAUGCAAGUCGAGCGAACAGACGAGGAGCUUGCUCCUCUGACGUUAGCGGCGGACGGGUGAGUAACACGUGGAUAACCUACCUAUAAGACUGGGAUAACUUCGGGAAACCGGAGCUAAUACCGGAUAAUAUAUUGAACCGCAUGGUUCAAUAGUGAAAGACGGUUUUGCUGUCACUUAUAGAUGGAUCCGCGCCGCAUUAGCUAGUUGGUAAGGUAACGGCUUACCAAGGCAACGAUGCGUAGCCGACCUGAGAGGGUGAUCGGCCACACGGGAACUGAGACACGGUCCAGACUCCUACGGGAGGCAGCAGUAGGGAAUCUUCCGCAAAGGGCGAAAGCUUGACGGAGCAACGCCGCGUGAGUGAUGAAGGUCUUCGGAUCGUAAAACUCUGUUAUUAGGGAAGAACAAAUGUGUAAGUAACUAUGCACGUCUUGACGGUACCUAAUCAGAAAGCCACGGCUAACUACGUG
rnacentral:rRNA from 1 species